UACGAGGGGCGCAAGUGUUGUUCGGAAUCACUGGGCGUAAAGGGUGCGUAGGCGGCGCGGUAAGUCGGGUGUGAAAUUUCGAGGCUUAACUUCGAAACUGCAUUCGAUACUGCCGUGCUCGAGGACUGGAGAGGAGACUGGAAUUUACGGUGUAGCGGUGAAAUGCGUAGAUAUCGUAAGGAAGACCAGUGGCGAAGGCGGGUCUCUGGACAGUUCCUGACGCUGAGGCACGAAGGUCAGGGGAGCAAACGGG
rnacentral:rRNA from 1 species